GAAAAAAGAAAAAUUCAGGAAAACAGAAGAGAGAAAGAAAAAAGAGAAAACAAUCAGGAAAACAGAGGAGAAAGUAAUCACCCAAAUCCCAUGCCCUAAUCGAUUUCUGGGACAUGACGUGGGAAGCCGUUUAUCCUAUGUUAAUGACUAUGCUGCAGAUAAACUUAAAAGUGGACUUGUCCAAGAUUGACCAUAUGUUGGGUCCCUAGUGUGGCACUCCAGCAUAUCCUAACCGUUUUGCUGUUACUUGACAACUACACUACCUGCUCAGUCAAUCUUUGUAGGGACUGCUAAGGUAAGCAUUGGACAGCAAAAGUUUGAUACAGAUUUAGGCUAAGAAACUAACGUUUUCAAAGAUACUGUAACAAAGCAAAAUGGUUUUUGACAAACUCUAAUUAUGAUGCUUCAUUCUGUUAACACUGCUGGGCAACUUAGUGAAUAGAGCAGGAAUAUAUUUCAUUUCUGAAAACGGACAAACGUUCUCCUUAUAGUGACUCAGUGAUAUGACCUUUGAUAGAACGAUAUUUAAUAAAUUAUCACUAGUGAAUUCUACCAAACACUGAAGGAAGAAGUUACACCAAUUUUGUCCACAUUCUUCAAUAAUACAGGAGAGGAAAAUUCAUUUUAUGAGAUCAGCAUUGGACAGUCACCUUAAAAUAUAAAAAAAAAUUGUGGAUCAAUAUCCUUCAUGAAUAUUGAUGCAACCUACUUGCAAAAUAUAAAAAUCAGCUGGCCAUAACCAAAUGCCCACUCUGAUGUCAUGACUUGUACUACUUCUAGUUACUUUAUUGUAGUACAAUGGAAUGACAUCCCAGUGAGCAUUUGUGUCCCCCCUCCACUAGGUUCUCAAAUAUUUACUCAAGGGCCAUAGAACAGUAGUUUGGGGCAAACAAUGUGCUGUAUUUGGGCCCUGAUUUUGUUUUUAAUAAUGAAGCCCUUCCUAUACAGAGACUCCCGCUUAUACAUUCUCAAAAAUACCUCACCACUGCUGUUCAAGACUUAACGAUCGCCCCCUAGUGGUUUAUUAAAAUAUAUUUCUUUUUUGUUUGUUUUUUUUGAGACGGAGUUUUGCUGUUGUUACCCAGACUGGAGUGCAAUGGCGCAAUCUCGGCUCACCACAACCUCUGCCUUCUGGGUUCAGGCAAUCCUCCUGCCUCAGCCUCCCGAGUAGCUGGGACUACAGGCACGCGCCACCAUGCCCAGCUAAUUUUUGUAUUUUUAGUAGAGACGGGGUUUCACCUUGUUGACCAGGAUGGUCUUGAUCUCUUGACCUCGUGAUCCACCUGCCUCGGCCUCCCAAGUGCUGGUAUUAUAGGCGUGAGCCACCGCGCCUGGACCUAUUAAAAUAUAUUUCUUAAGAUAUUAUAUAAUUUGUAGAGAUGGGGUCUUGCUUUGUCGCCCAGGCUGGUCUCAAGUGAUCCUCCCACCUCAGCCUCCCAAAGUGCUGGGGUUACAGGCAUGAGCCACCGCUCCCCACCACUGCCCCCUAGUGGGAAAGUCCUCAACGAACGUGUUGCUAUUCAGAUUACAAAGGAGCAUGAGUAGAACAUUUGAAAAAAAACACAAAUAGUAGUAGCUUUUCCCCUUAUGGCAGUUUGUUUGCCAAAUUCCUUUUAGAGGAAAUUAAGCGUUGUAGUGCCUUCUCUUUGAUAAGCACUGAGCUAGAGAGAGACUUAACUUUAAGCUUGUAAAGUGGUGUUUCUUAAUUCUAAUAGAGGUAAGAUGUUACAGUCUAAUACCACUGUGCCUAAAGUGUUGAGACAAACUUGAUUACAAAAAUAUCUCUGCCAUCUUGAGAACACCUCAACAUUCCAUAGAAUCGCUAAGCAUUUUAUUGAUAUUAAAAGAGUUGUAACGUUCUGAUCUCAUGCAUCAUUACAAAAAGGAGGGUCAUUUCCCAAGGCUUUUUUUGGAGGGGAAGAGGUGCAUAAAGCCCCCUUUUUAACCAUGGUAAGACAUACACACAGAGCUUAAACUAUCACCAUUUGAACAGAUAAAAAAGAUACUAAAAUAGAGGUGCUUUCAAACGCACAAGUAACUGACUUGAUUCUUGACUACCCAGCAUAUGCCUAUCUUUCCCAUCUUUUGCAGGGCAUUGGUUUUGUUCUUCUGGAAAUACACAAUACUAUCUAAAUUUGAAUUUCUGUGUAGUAGAAAAAAAAGAUAAAAAUUGUUUAUCAGCAUGCAUAGUUUUCACAUGUGCACAAUUUCCUAAUAAACACCUUACUCAAAAAAUAGUCACACACUGAACCUGCUUUCCUCUCUCUAGCUUAAUAACUCACAUUUAAGGUUUAAAAAAUUCGCAAUUUGAAAUGAAAAAAUUGCAUAGAUGCAUUGUUUUUUAAAUUCCAAGAGAUAGAAGGCUGCACACAAGCUUACCAUCCAGCAGUUAAUGGUUAAACAUGUGUUUAGACAGAUUUAUAAAAUAAUUCUUCCUGCCCAGCCACUAACUAGAGAUAAAAAGUGGUUAAUAGAAUGAAAGUCCAUUCCUACCACAAUCUUUUCUAAAAGGUUAAGAGAAGGGAUGGAAUAUAUAUGCAUGUGUAUUAAUGGCAAGAGAAUAGGAAAUACAAGCAACUUGACAAGACUAAGUUUAUUCUAAGUAUAAUUUUUAUUAAUAAAAAGAUUAACCAUGGCCAUGUAAAAUGAGUGGCUGGGCUUAUAGUUUGCUACACCAAUGAAAUUAAAAAAUUAAUACUUGAGAAUGUUAACAAUAAUUUAUAAUAGCAUUCCUUGAUAGAGGCAUUUUAAUUUUAGCAAUAAUUUCUCUUAAAUAUAUAAACUAAUCAUUAGUGUAAUGGAGGAGAAUCAUCAUAGCUACUGAUUAAUCAAAAAAGAAUUUCUGAGAGCUGUUUGGUGGUGUUAUUUCAAGACAUACAACCAAGUUGUAGGAAAAUCUCCCAAAAAGAUCUGGAAAGCUGUCCAGUCAGAACAGAGGAAGAGUAUCACUGUUUGACACUCUGACAGGGGAAUAUCCCACUUGCAAGUCAAGUGUGAAGAAUAAAUAACACAAAUUAAGAAUGGACCCAAGAUCCCCAAAUAAAUUAGUAAUAGUGCCAUUAAGAAUUAUCAGACAUAGAAUCAAUGUGUUCAAAUACAAAUUCAAAUUUGUUAAGUCCAAAAGAUACAGUAAUUUUAUUACAUAAAAUUUCUUCUGUGUGCUAAAAAUGUUAACUUACAAGACAUAAUAUUCGUAGUAGUGUAGAGGGAAUCACGGUCGACUCAUUUGAUUCUUUUUCAUUAUUGAAUAGAAAUAGGUAGUGGACAUAGAAGCACUGAGUCCUCUGAAAUUCAAGGUUGUUAUAUUACGUUCAACCAAAAUAAGACUACCAUUCUCUAAUAAUAUAAAUGCCUGUUCAAUUCACCUUUCAAAAAUAAAGUCCAUUUCUUCUCCAUUAAAGCUUCUGCAAGACUGACAAAGGUACAUUCUACCUAUUAAAAAUAGGAGCACUCUUCAUCUUUGGAUAAGAUAUCACCAUUUAGGGAAAAUGUACUCAUAUACAGAUGACCAGAUUUUUACUUGAGGCAGCUGUUGGGAGUUCAUUAAGCACUUUUUGAACGCUGUACCUUUAAAAAUUUGUCUUUAAUAUAGCUUUGGAAAACCAAAAAUAGAAGAAAAGUAUCUAUGGUAAAGUAUAUUUCAUUCUGAUAGCAGUAAAAUACAAAAAAAAAAAAAAAAAAAAAAAAGGAUUUAAUGCAGUGUCACUUGAUGUUAGUUUUCUGCUCUAUGAAUGACAAAAAAACUUUUAACUUGUUAAAAAUGUUUUAGAAGUCUUUGACUUAGUAUUUAGUAAGGCAAAAAUGAAAUUAAGCACUGUAGAAAGUAUUUAGAAAUUAAGUUCUACAAAUUUGGUUCCCAUUUACAACAAUUUCAUUAAGAUACUGAGUUGAGAUAAAACGUAUCCAAUACUGUCAUGACAUCGGUAAAAAGAAAAAAUUCUAAUAUCAUUUAUAGAUUGUGAAAUCCUUAAUAAAACCAAUAUAUAUUCAAAAUAUGUUCAUACAUAACCAAUACCUCUCCUUCUGCAUGUAAAAGAACACUUGUUAAAAAUAAUUAACAAAAAUACCAAUAAAACAAUGAAAACCCAUUUUGUUUCACUGUGCCUAAAAUAUGACACAAAAUAUUGGCUUUAAGAGGUAGGUUAAAAAGAAAAAGAAAACCAGAUUCUCCAUUCUUUGUCACUUUUAUUCAGUAGUAGGUUUUUUUCCUUAUUUUCAGUGCCAGACACGGCGAGGAGUGAUUACAGCCAACUGUUAUGAAAACAUUUGUUCGCAACAUAUACCCCUUAUACCACUGACCCCAAACUGACUCAUUUUGUGUGCUUUCAUUCUUUCUUUUUUUAAUAUACCACCACCAAGACCGGGUGGAGGGGCAAGGGUAAGAGAGAUGAAGGGGAGGAGUCCAGGAGGCCAGAAGAGGAGGAAUGCUACAAGCCACAGUAAGAAUGAGCUGUAUUUAAUUUAAAAAAAGGGGGACGGGGUGUACCCCACAAAUGAUACAGUAAUGAGGA